ACAUCCAGAGAACUUUCCAGAGAUGGAUUGGUGCCUUCGGGAACUCUGAGACAGGUGCUGCAUGGCUGUCGUCAGCUCGUGUUGUGAAAUGUUGGGUUAAGUCCCGCAACGAGCGCAACCCUUAUCCUUUGUUGCCAGCGGUCCGGCCGGGAACUCAAAGGAGACUGCCAGUGAUAAACUGGAGGAAGGUGGGGAUGACGUCAAGUCAUCAUGGCCCUUACGAGUAGGGCUACACACGUGCUACAAUGGCGCAUACAAAGGGAAGCGACCUCGCGAGAGCAAGCGGACCUCAUAAAGUGCGUCGUAGUCCGGAUUGGAGUCUGCAACUCGACUCCAUGAAGUCGGAAUCGCUAGUAAUCGUGGAUCAGAAUGCCACGGUGAAUACGUUCCCGGGCCUUGUACACACCGCCCGUCACACCAUGGGAGUGGGUUGCAAAAGAAGUAGGUAGCUUAACCUUCGGGAGGGCGCUUACCACUUUGUGAUUCAUGACUGGGGUGAAGUCGUAACAAGGUAGGCGUAGUGCU
rnacentral:rRNA from 1 species